rnacentral:rRNA from 1 species
CCUACGGUAGGCAGCAGUGAGGAAUAUUGGUCAAUGGCCGGAAGGCUGAACCAGCCAUGCAGCGUGAAGGUCAGUGCCCUAUGGGCGUUAAACUUCUUUUGUUCGGGAGCAAUAAUGGUCACGUGUGGCCAGACGAUAGUACCGUACGAAUAAGCAUCGGCUAACUCCGUGCCAGCAGCCGCGGUAAGACGGGGGAUGCAAGCGUUAUCCGGAAUUUUUGGGUUUAAAGGGUGCGUAGGCUGGGAGGUAAGUCAGCGGUGAAAUGCCCCCGCGCAACGGGGUGAAGGGCCAUUGAUACUGGCUGGCUGGAAUGCGGAUGCUGUGGGAGGAAUGUGUGGUGUAGCGGUGAAAUGCAUAGAUAUCACACAGAACACCGAUUGCGAAGGCAUCUCACGAAUCCGCGAUUGACGCUGAUGCACGAAAGCGUGGGUAUCAAACAGGAUUAGAUACCCCAGUAGUC